rnacentral:misc_RNA from 1 species
GAUGAAGAACGUAGCGAAAUGCGAUAAGUAAUGUGAAUUGCAGAAUUCAGUGAAUCAUCGAAUCUUUGAACGCACCUUGCGCCCUUUGGCUAUUCCGAAGGGCAUGCCUGUUUGAGUAUCGUGAACACCUCAACUCUCAUGGUUUGCCAUGAUGAGCUUGGACUUUGGGGGUUUUGCUGGCCUUUGGUCGGCUCCUCCCAAACGGAUCAGCUUUCCAGUGUUUGGUGGCGUCACGGGUGUGAUAACUAUCUACGCCUGUGGUUUUCUGCCAGAUAACCUUCAGCGAUGGAGGUUCGCUGGGGCUCAUAAAUGUCUCUCUUCAGUGGAGACAGCUUUUUGGACGUUUGAUCUCAAAUCAGGUAGGACUACCCGCUGAACUUAAGCAUAUCAAUAAGCGGAGGA